rnacentral:rRNA from 1 species
AUACGUAGGGUGCAAGCGUUGUCCGGAAUUAUUGGGCGUAAAGCGCGCGCAGGCGGUCCUUUAAGUCUGAUGUGAAAGCCCACGGCUCAACCGUGGAGGGUCAUUGGAAACUGGGGGACUUGAGUGCAGAAGAGGAAAGUGGAAUUCCAAGUGUAGCGGUGAAAUGCGUAGAGAUUUGGAGGAACACCAGUGGCGAAGGCGACUUUCUGGUCUGUAACUGACGCUGGGGCGCGAAAGGGUGGGGAGCAAACAGGAUUAGAUGCCCUGGUAGUCCACGCUGUAAACGAUGAGUGCUAAGUGUUAGGGGGUUUCCGCCCCUUAGUGCUGCAGCUAACGCAUUAAGCACUCCGCCUGGGGAGUACGGUCGCAAGACUGAAACUCAAAUGAAUUGGCGGGG